rnacentral:rRNA from 1 species
GGCGAACGCUGGCGGCGUGCUUAACACAUGCAAGUCGAACGGAAAGGCCCUGCUUUUGUGGGGUGCUCGAGUGGCGAACGGGUGAGUAACACGUGAGUAACCUGCCCUUGACUUUGGGAUAACUUCAGGAAACUGGGGCUAAUACCGGAUAGGAGCUCCUGCUGCAUGGUGGGGGCUGGAAAGUUUCGGCGGUUGGGGAUGGACUCGCGGCUUAUCAGCUUGUUGGUGGGGUAGUGGAUUACCAAGGCUAUGACGGGUAGCCGGGCUGGGAGGGUGACCGGCCACAUUGGGGUUGAAAUACGGCCCAGACUACUACGGGAGGCAGCAGUGGGGAAUAGUGUACAAGGGGCGGAAGCCUGAUGCAGCAAAGCCGCGUGCGGGAUGAGGGCCAUCGGGUUGUAUUCCGCAUCCGCUUGUGACGAGACGUGAGUGACGGUAAUGGGUAAAGAAGCACCGGCUAACUACGUG